rnacentral:rRNA from 1 species
UACGGAGGAUGCGAGCGUUAUCCGGCUUUAUUGGGUUUAAAGGGUGCGCAGGCGGAUUUUUAAGUCAGCGGUCAAAUCGUGGGGCUCAACCCCAUCCAGCCGUUGAAACUGGGGAUCUAGAGUGUGCGAGAGGUAUGCGGAAUGCGUGGUGUAGCGGUGAAAUGCAUAGAUAUCACGCAGAACCCCGAUUGCGAGGGCAGCCUGCCAAGCCAUGACUGACGCUGAUGCACGAAAGCGUGGGGAUCGAACAGG